AUUGAACGCUAGCGGGAUGCUUUAUACAUGCAAGUCGAACGAGUGGCGGACGGGUGAGUAAUAUAUCGGCACGUGCCCAGUAGCGGGGGAUAACUACUCGAAAGAGUGGCCAAUACCGCAUACCACUGGAGCGGCCGAUAUCGGAUUAGCUAGUUGGUGGGGUAAAGGCUCACCAAGGCAACGAUCCGCAGCAGGUCUGAGAGGACGAGCGGCCACACUGGGACUGAGACACGGCCCAGACUCCUACGGGAGGCAGCAGUGGGGAAUAUUGGACAAUGGAGGAAACCCUGAUCCAGCCAUCCCGCGUGUGUGAGAAGGCCUUCGGUUCGUAAAAUACUUUUGUCAGAGAAGCGGUAUCUACAGAGUAAGCACCGGCUAACUACGUGCCAGCAGCCGCGGUAAUUC
rnacentral:rRNA from 1 species